CCUGAGCCCUGCUGAGGCUUGAGCUGCCCUCUCUGCUGCUUGGCAGUGUGGGCACACAGCAUUACCUGAGCCCCUUGCAGUGCUCACUUCCCCAUAGAAGGCAAUCCCAUCACACCGUGGAACAUUUCCUAUCUGUUCUUCUUUCUAGGUUGGGACCGUGACUUGCAUCAUUUGGAAAGACUGGCAAACCAUGGUUUAAGGGUCUUGGAGCUUGGUGAAGCUGAACGUGAUGAUGAAGAUGAUCUGGAUUCCCAACCCAUACCCAUUACUGAGCCUCAGGGAGAUGCUGAGGAUGUGUCUGCAGGGAGGACUUUCCCAGGUCCUCUGGUGGAUGUUGCACAUAAGCCCGACUCCCAUCGCAGGGGUCCCCUGAGAAGGAAGAACAAACCUACAGGAGACAGUAAGUCACUGGAGGAAUCCAAACAUCUGGAACAAAUCCUGAGUGAUGUGGAGAGACGUGGUGGUGGGUGCAUUUCCCUCAGCCUUCCCCUGGGACUCAGCAGCCGGGGGCUUUCCCUGCACAUCUGGACACGCCGUGCCUGGCACAGCGGGAAGGGAUCCAUGGCAGCCUGGCUGCCCCGCUGCUGCUUUCCUGCCCUGCAGGGCUGUUUCCCAGCCUGGCCUGGCUGCAGCUUCUCCCCAGCCUCUGCAGGAAGGCAUUUGGCAGCAGCUGACAGGGAGCCCAAACUGCACCAUGGGCCUGAGAUCCCCUGCAAUUUCCUGGUCUCUGGGUUGAUGCAGAGAGGCAGCUGUUUGCAGGAGGGAGGGCCCUGGAGCAGCUCCAAAACCCUGGCCAUUUUCCUUGUCUUCAUCCACCCUUUGACAAGUAUUGCUUGGAGCAGAACAGCACAGCACAGAGGAAUUAUGGCAUGCAGGCUCAGGGGUUUGGGUACUGGGCAGUCCUGUGCCAAGGGGCGGCAAGGCCCCAGCUCUGGGGGAAACAGAGACCAAGGACCUCCUGUCCCUCUGCACCGUGCUGCCAGCUCAGCAGUGGAGCACAGCACGGGCUCACGCUCCCCAUUGCUCCCACAGAUGCAGCCGGCACCUCAACACAUGCUGACAAGACCCGGAAAAGCAUGAGAAGAGUUUUCUGCUGGGGAACACCUUGUUUGGUUAAGUUGAUGGCCAUUGUGGCUGGUGCAGCACUUUGCCUGAUGAUUUGCUCUGCUGGAAUCUGGUAUUGCUGGAAGAGAAAAUGGUGAGUGUUUUGGUGAUCUCGACCUCAAACAGCAUCCUUUAAUGGCUGCUGAUAGUCAGGGAACAUUCCCAGUGAGGCUGCAGUGGAGCUGUGGCCAGUCUGUGGUUGUCCAAAGAACUCUGCUGAGGGCUCUGCUGCUGCCCAGUGCUUUCAUUGGCCUCUUCAUUGCUGGGCCUUGUCCUGGGGGGCCCGCUGGGGCUGCAGCCAGUGCUGGCUCCCACUGAGGCUGCCUGGGCAAGAGCAGCCC